UACGUAGGGGGCAAGCGUUGUCCGGAUUUAUUGGGCGUAAAGAGCGUGUAGGCGGCCAGGUAGGUCGGUUGUGAAAACUGGAGGCUCAACCUUCAGACGUCGACCGAAACCAUCUGGCUAGAGUCCGGGAGAGGAGAGUGGAAUUCCUGGUGUAGCGGUGAAAUGCGCAGAUAUCAGGAAGAACACCCGUGGCGAAAGCGGCUCUAGAACGGUACUGACGCUGAGACGCGAAAGCGUGGGGAGCGAACAGG
rnacentral:rRNA from 1 species